rnacentral:rRNA from 1 species
AACGAACGCUGGCGGCAGGCCUAACACAUGCAAGUCGAACGCCUCAGCAAUGAGGAGUGGCAGACGGGUGAGUAACACGUGGGAACGUACCCUUCGGUUCGGAAUAACUCAGGGAAACUUGAGCUAAUACCGGAUACGUCCGAGAGGAGAAAGAUUUAUCGCCGAAGGAUCGGCCCGCGUCUGAUUAGCUUGUUGGUGAGGUAACGGCUCACCAAGGCGACGAUCAGUAGCUGGUCUGAGAGGAUGAUCAGCCACAUUGGGACUGAGACACGGCCCAAACUCCUACGGGAGGCAGCAGUGGGGAAUAUUGGACAAUGGGGGCAACCCUGAUCCAGCCAUGCCGCGUGAGUGAUGAAGGCCUUAGGGUUGUAAAGCUCUUUUACCUGGGAAGAUAAUGAUGGUACCAGGAGAAUAAGCCCCGGCUAACUUCGUG